AGAUAAUUAAUCUAUAUUUUGUGAGUUUAAUUAACUAAACUAUUGUUUGAUGGACACUAAAUAAUGUAUGUAUAACUGGAAUUAAAUGUUUGAUAGGUUUUACUAAAAUAAUUUAAUAGACAUAUUAGAUACUGAAAUUACCUUAAUACCCUCUAUUGUUACAAGAAAAUGACAAAAUUAUCAUGAGCAUAAUUAGAAAAAAAAAACUAUGACACAACACGUAAGCCCCCACCCCUCUGUUGUGCAGACACCUCAACCCCCCACCCACCCACCCCACCCCUUUCUUCCUCAUUCAAUUUACGCUUCCCCCAUCUAAGUCUGCAAAAAAAAAAAAAUCGGCAAACAAAUCUUGAUUGCUUUUGCCAGAUUUUGACAUACAAAAUUUGGUUGCUCGAUUGGGGUUAUAGUUAAUUGAGUCGCCAGAUUUUGCAAACUAUGAUUGGGCUUGAUUGGGGUUGCUUUCGCCAAAUUUCGCUCCCCCAUCUCUGUAUGCGAAAUCAACAAAUUUCGCAAAAAAAUUUCCACUGAGCAAGACGCACAGAAGCAUUAGCUCCAUCAUUCUCUCACCUCCAUUGUUCAUGGCAAACUCAGUCAUCCCUCCCUUAUGCGACACUCAAGCACCAAAUUGAGUAAUAGAU
rnacentral:lncRNA from 1 species